UCUGGUCCUUGUGUGCCCGCCGCCGCGGUAAUACGGCCGGUCCGGGCGUUAUCCGGAUUUAUUGGGUUUAAAGGGAGCGUAGGCCGGAGAUUAAGCGUGUUGUGAAAUGUAGAUGCUCAACAUCUGCACUGCAGCGCGAACUGGUUUCCUUGAGUACGCACAAAGUGGGCGGAAUUCGUGGUGUAGCGGUGAAAUGCUUAGAUAUCACGAAGAACUCCGAUUGCGAAGGCAGCUCACUGGAGCGCAACUGACGCUGAAGCUCGAAAGUGCGGGUAUCGAACAGG
rnacentral:rRNA from 1 species